CACGUAGGGGGCAAGCGUUGUCCGGAUUUAUUGGGCGUAAAGAGCGUGUAGGCGGCCAGAUAGGUCCGUUGUGAAAACUCGAGGCUCAACCUCGAGGCGCCGAUGGAAACCAUUUGGCUAGAGUCCGGAAGAGGAGAGUGGAAUUCCUGGUGUAGCGGUGAAAUGCGCAGAUAUCAGGAAGAACACCCGUGGCUAAGGCGGCUCUCUAGUACGGUACUGACGCUGAGACGCGAAAGCGUGGGGAGCGAACAGG
rnacentral:rRNA from 1 species